AUGUUCUAUAACCAUGUGAGCACGGGAGGUGUUUAUCGUCACAAGCAGCAUGUGGCUCAUAUUGGUAAUGUUGUGGUCAAAUGCAAGAAAAGCUCUCAGGAAGCUAAAGACAGGUGCAAGAAAUCUCUUGAGGAUGCAUCUAAUAAGAGGAGGGAAAAGACUGCCCGUGAGCAAGAGCUUAGACAAAGUGUGAACAUUUCUCGCGUUGGAGAUGAAGAAGCUGCUCAUAUCGGAAGCACAGAGCCACACAAAUUAGGUCCUAUUGACAAGUGGGCACAGCCUAUUGAUCCUAAAUUGACUCAAGCUGAAGCCUUGCAUCAACAGAAGAUAAACAAGGAAUUUUGGAAAAAGAGAACACAUGAAGUGCAACAGUAUGUGGCUAGAUGGGUGUACAAUCAUGCUAUACCAUUCAAUGCUUGUGACAACGAUGAUUUCAAGUUAAUGUGUGAAGCCAUUGGGAGGUUUGGUCCUGGAUUUGAGCCGCCAUCUAAACAUGACCUUCGAGAGACUUUGCUGAGUGAGGAACAUGCAAGAGUGAAGAGUUUGCUGCAAGAACGUGAUGCUGAAAAGAUGAAGAAUGGCUGCUCCAUUAUGACUGAUGCUUGGUCAGAUAGGAAGAGGAGAAGCAUAAUGAACUUGUGCACAAACAAUGCUGAUGGUUCUAGUUUUAUAAGUUCGAGUGAGAUGUCGGCUGUAUCGACACAAGUGAAGUCAUCUUCCAAUUAG
rnacentral:rRNA from 1 species